GACGAACGCUGGCGGCGUGCCUAAUACAUGCAAGUCGAACGGACAGGCCCGGCUCUUGCGGCGCGCACGAGAGGCGAAGGGGUGAGUAACACGCGUGUAACCUGUCCCUGAAUUUGGGAUAACAUCAGGAAACUGGGGCUAAUAUCGGAUAGGAGAUCUUGCUCCACGGUGGGGGAUGGAAAGAUUCGGCGGUGGGGGAUGGUCUAGCGGGUUAUCAGCUGGUUGGUGGGGUAGUGGCUUACCAGGGGUACGACGGGUAGCCGGCCUGGGAGGGUUACCGGCCACAAGGGGACUGAGAUAGGGCGCAGACUCCUACGGGAGGCAGCAGGGGAGAAUAUUGCGGAAUGGGCGGAAGCCUGAUGCAGCAGCGCCGCGUGCGGGAUGCCGGGCUUCGGGUUGUAAACCGCUUUCGCCUGUGACGAAGCGUGAGUGACGGUAAUGGGUAAAAAAGCACCGGCUAACUACGUG
rnacentral:rRNA from 1 species